AGUGGCGAACGGGUGAGUAACGCAUCGGAACGUGCCCAGUAGUGGGGGAUAACCAGUCGAAAGAUUGGCUAAUACCGCAUACGACCUACGGGUGAAAGCGGGGGAUCGCAAGACCUCGCGCUACUGGAGCGGCCGAUGUCUGAUUAGCUAGUUGGUGGGGUAAAGGCUCACCAAGGCGACGAUCAGUAGCUGGUCUGAGAGGACGACCAGCCACACUGGGGCUGAGACACGGCCCAGACUCCUACGGGAGGCAGCAGUGGGGAAUUUUGGACAAUGGGCGAAAGCCUGAUCCAGCCAUGCCGCGUGCGGGAAGAAGGCCUUCGGGUUGUAAACCGCUUUUGGCAGGAACGAAACGGUGCCGACAAAUACUCGGCGCUAAUGACGGUACCUGCAGAAUAAGCACCGGCUAACUACGUGCCAGCAGCCGCGGUAAUACGUAGGGUGCAAGCGUUAAUCGGAAUUACUGGGCGUAAAGCGUGCGCAGGCGGCUAUGCAAGACAGGUGUGAAAUCCCCGGGCUCAACCUGGGAACUGCAUUUGUGACUGCAUGGCUAGAGUUUGUCAGAGGGGGGUGGAAUCCCACGUGUAGCAGUGAAAUGCGUAGAGAUGUGGAGGAACACCGAUGGCGAAGGCAGCCCCCUGGGACCUGACUGACGCUCAUGCACGAAAGCGUGGGGAGCAAACAGGAUUAGAUACCCUGG
rnacentral:rRNA from 1 species